rnacentral:rRNA from 1 species
GUCUUUUUGAAUUAAAUUUAAAGUCUGACCUGCCCACUGAUUUUUAAAUGGCCGCAGUACUCUAACUGUGCAAAGGUAGCAUAAUAAUUAGUCUUUUAAUUGAAGGCUGGAAUGAAUGGUUGGACGAAAUAUUAACUGUUUCAUUAAAAAUUUUUUUAGAACUUUAUUUUUUAGUCAAAAAGCUAAAAUAUUAUUAAAAGACGAGAAGACCCUAUAAAUCUUUAUAAUUUUAAAAAAAUAAUAAAAUAAGAUUUUUUUAUAGUAUUUUUGAAGAAUUAUUUUAUUGGGGUGAUAUUAAAAUUUAUAAAACUUUUAAUUUUUAUAAACAUUAAUUUAUGAAAAAUUGAUCCACUUUUUGUGAUUAUAAAUUCAAGUUACUUUAGGGAUAACAGCGUAAUUUUUUUGGAGAGUUCAUAUCGAUAAAAAAGAUUGCGACCUCGAUGUUGGACUAAGGAAUAAGUUUAGGCGCAGCCGUUUAAAUGAUAAGUCUGUUCGACUUUUAAACCCUU